rnacentral:rRNA from 1 species
AGAGUGAACGCUGGCGGCAGGCCUAAUACAUGCAGGUCGAACGGCAGCACAGCAGAGCUUGCUCUGUGGGUGGCGAGUGGCGGACGGGUGAGGAAUACAUGGGAAUCUGCCCAGUCGUGGGGGAUAACGUAUGGAAACGUACGCUAAUACCGCAUGCGCCCUUCGGGGGAAAGCCGGGGACCUUCGGGCCUGGCGCGAUUGGAUGAGCCCAUGUCGGAUUAGCUAGUUGGCGGGGUAAAGGCCCACCAAGGCGACGAUCCGUAGCUGGUCUGAGAGGAUGAUCAGCCACACUGGAACUGAGACACGGUCCAGACUCCUACGGGAGCAGCAGUAGGGAAUAUUGGACAAGUGGGCGCAAGCCUGAUCCAGCCAUGCCGCGUGUGUGAAGAAGGCCUUGGGUUGUAAAGCUACGUUUUUGUACCGGAAAAGAAAGCACGUGGGUAGAACUACCCGUGGUCGUCCGUAGACGGUACCGGAAGAAUAAGACACCGG